CGUGAGAUCCGAUCAGCCCAGGUGAUCUAUGUAAGAAUUGGACUAAAUGUGGAAAUCCACUUCUGGAAAAUGUCUGACAGCCACUCUUUACCACUGUUGCCUGCAACAGAGCUGGUCACGCAUCGCAAGGGAUUAGGACCAAAAUUGAGGCAUCCAGCACCCCGUGUUUCCCACCUGGGUGGAAAAGCGGAGGGAAGCGCCAGGGCGGAACUGGCUGCUGUGUCUCAAGGACUCUAGGAGAAGCCUCGGUCCCCGGGGCGGCAAAGGGGACCCGAGUGAGGCUUGAGGACUUAGAAAUGACAAUGGCGCCAGGGAGCGUCCCAGAUACCGGCUUCCAAGCGGCUAAAGCGGCUGAGGCGCGAAGAAGAAGCAGCUGCCUCGCUUCAGAGAGACGGGCACUUGCUGUCCCCUGCCGAGCCUGGAACAGGCUGCUCGCCGGGACCACGGCCUCCUACUGCCUCCUCUCACCACCUUCAAGAGACACCAUCUCCUAAAGGUGAUUUUCUUUCUUGUUUUGUCUUUUUAGGGCCACACCCCCGGCAUAUGUAGGGUCCCAGGCUAGGGGGCGAAUCGGAGCUGUAGCCACCGGCCUACACCACAGCUCAUGGCAGCACUGGAUCCUUACCCACUGAGCAAGGCCAGGGGUCGAACUCGUGUCCUCGUGGAUACUAGUCGGGUUUGUUAACCACUGAGCCAUGACGGGAACUCCUAAAGGUGAUUUUCUAUCACCAAAACUCGCCAAGGGGCUACGGGGCUGCAGAUGAUGGCACUAGGCCAUCGCUCUCAUUCAGGGGGCCCAAGCCAAGGCCCCUUAACCCGGCCCUAUCCUGUCUCCGGGUUCCACUCCCUCAGCCCUGCAUCCUGCAUUCCCCUCAGGCUUGUCUGGGUUUGGUGUCCCUGCCACCCUGUGGGUGCCCAGCUCUCCUGGGAGCACUAGUACCAUCAUCAUGUGACUUGAGUUUGGCCUGAGAAGACCUACCGGGCCUGCUGUCCUAACUGGGCUUGAGAAGUUGGGGUUCCUCAGCCCAUCUAGGAGAGAGCCCUGCCUCCCAUGCCCCCGGGGCCACACCACCCCUCCUCCUUCCAGCUGCUCCUUAGGGCAUGUGGGUUGUCUUUUUGUGUGUGUCUUUUUAGGGCCACACCUGCGGCUUAUGGGAGUUCCCAGGCUGGGGGUCGAUUUGGAGCUGCAGCUGCCACAGUAGGAACCAGCCACUUCAGUGUAGCAGGGCUGGGAUGGGUGAGGGCAGAGUGGGGCAGGAGGGUGCCUGGGAGAGGCCCUGGGGCCCCCCAACAUCUCUCUUUGGGAACCAUGAGGUACCUGAUGGGUGGGAAGGAAGGGCCUGGGGUGUGGAGCUAGAAGAAGCAGGGACGCUGCGGGGACUCGAACCCCGGCCCAGCAGUGCCAGGUGUGCCACCACCAACGUCUUUUGCUUUUUCCUGCUCGUUUUCUCACAGACUCAAAGGUGAAAAGCAAAACCUGAACGCGGCCAUGAGCCGCAUCCAGGAAAAGAAACACCUACGACGGCUCUGCGCCUCCCCCCGCCCCAUUGCAUGCCUCCCUCCUGACACCCCUUCAAAGGCACACGGGGACACAGGUCCCCGCAGCCUCGUGGCCACUGCUUCUCAUCACGCUGGCUGCACAUCCCAGCCGCAGGAGCACCAAGUCAGACGGGGAAACAACCGCACGGCCCGGCCCUGCUGCUCAGGACAGGCUCAGCGCUGACAAGACUGGUGGUGGAGAGAAAUUGCCAAGAUGCUAAGAAACUUGAGAGGCCACCUCUGCAGCAGGACUGGGACGGGUGAGGGGAAAAGAACUUACUUUCAUUUUAUACUUUUUCCAUGGCUUGGAUUUUAAACUCUCCAUAGGUUACUUUUAUAAUUAAAGGCAGAAAUCUGGUUUUCUCAUCAGGACAGGAACUCAGGAGCUAGGGGGGAAGCCUUGAGCCCUCUGGCCUGGCUCAAAGGCCAACGGCCCUCCAGGCUGCUGUGCCCCGACCACGCUGGGUCACACAGACGGGCCCACCUGCCUCGCCUGCUGUCCUGUCCUGCUCUCCUGCCAUCGCCGGCUGUGGAUUCCUUCCUGGGAACAGCCAGUGCUUGAAACAAAGUCGGAAGCACAGCGGCCCCACCAGUGUCUCGUCUCACCCCGGGUCUGAGUUUUGGGGAGGGCGGGUCCAGGUCCGCAGGGCCCCUGGCCAGCACCUGCCCCCAGGCCUCCCUCCCAGCCCACUGCCCGCAGCACCCACUGCUCCCAGCCCAGGCCCUGCCUCCCUUGGGCCCACGGCGGGUCCAGUGGGUGCACCCCCUGCUCCCCACUGUGGAGAGCUUCACAGUCCUUGUCCGGGAGUCCUGCCCUGGCCCCUCCUGUUAGCCCUGAGGAGCUCAGAAGCCCCUUCCCAGCAAGGUCCAGGUGAGAAGCUGAGGCUCAGAGAGGGCUGAGAGCUGCUGGGGGUCACGCGGAACAUCAGGCAGCAGUGGGUCCUCUACUCAAUCUGAGGAACGUGAGCAGAGCCAACCCCACCUCACACACACACACCCCAACCCCAAGGUCUGGGGACCCCCAGGUGGGCUCAGAGCCAGGCCUGUGGCCCAGCCUCCGCCCCCUCAUCCCAACCCCCUCACGUCCCUGCCCUGCCUCCCAGCCCAUCUCCCCUCCCAGCCCCCUUCGGCUUCGUCCCCCAAACACAACACAAAGGGCAGGCACUUACUUAUUGCAGCAGGAGAGGGGACACGUGCACGGCCAUCUAAGUCCCAACCUGAUGACGAAGCCACAAAGCUCUGACCUUAAAAGGCCUCAGAAAUGAGGGUAGUAAAAACACUCUGUAAGAUGAGCAAAGAAUUAGUUUGACACGUUAGUGACAAGGCCCUCGCUACCUGUCCUUUAGGAAACCGAGACAGUGAUCUACACACGGAAACACGCCACGCUGGCUACAAGGGUGCAAGUUAAAAUGGCGUCAAGAAGCCACCCCCUGCUCGUAGUCCACGAGCAAAUACAUAAGGGAAUUUGC
rnacentral:lncRNA from 1 species